GUGUCGGUAGUGCAACGGUUAAGCACGCGCUGCCGGAGACAGUGAGAACUGGCUUCAAAUCCCAGUUGACGCA